AUUGAACGCUGGCGGCAGGCCUAACACAUGCAAGUCGAGCGAGCGGCGGACGGGUGAGUAAUGUCUGGGAAACUGCCUGAUGGAGAGGGAUAACCACUGGAAACGGUAUCUAAUACCGCAUACCAUCAGAUGUGCCCAGAUGGGAUGAGCUAGUAGGUGGGGUAACGGCUCACCAAGGCGACGAUCCCUAGCUGGUCUGAGAGGAGGACAAGCCACAAUGGAACGGAGACAAGGUCCAGAAUACUACGGGAGGCAGCAGUGGGGAAUAUUGCACAAUGGGCGCAAGCCGGAUGAAGCCAUGCCGCGUGUGUGAAGAAGGCCUUCGGGUUGUAAAGCACUUUCAGCGGGGAGGCGUUACCCGCAGAAGAAGCACCGGCUAACUACGUGCCAGCAGCCGCGGUAAUAC
rnacentral:rRNA from 1 species